CGGCCGCGGCGGAGCCGGCGUCCGCAGCGGCUGCGCAUCUCGCGCCUCCCGCGGGGCGCUCGGGGGGCGGCGAGGCAGGUUGCGCAGUCCCCCGGGAGGGAGGCGGCCGCGGGAGAGGAACGGCAAAUGACAGAGCAGAGGGAUGGCUGGCCCAGCCAAUCCUGGAGCUGCUGCAGCACUUGUUCACCAAACACACACAUUCUGGUGCAAGGACAGAGAGGAGGGGGCUACUGGCUCACACUCCUUCCCCCACACAUGGCUCCCUUGCUGUUCCCCUGUGGGAAGGGCAGCCUGGCCACCUUAGGCUGCAUGGACAGAGGCUGCCAUGGGCCAGGGUGGUGAUGGUGCUGCGGCCCCUCCCUGCUGCCCAGCGUGGGAAGAAGAAUGCAGAGCCAGGACAAGCUUCAAGGAUCUUCCCAUGUGACCUCACUACCUGGAUUCCUUAGUCAUGAUGUCAGAGAGUGAAGAUGUGAGCAGAACUUUAUGAUGUGGGAAAAGAAGAGGUGUGGUGGGAGAGGUGGCAGAGGAGACUGGCAGGGCAGAAGCCAAGGUGGGCAUGACAAUGCAAGCCUUCCACAAAUAUUUAUUGAGUACCUACUAUAUUCCAAGCACCAUUCUGGGCCCAGAGGAUUCAGCAGUUUACAAAGCAGACAGAAAUCUCUGUCCUUAUGGAGCUUACAUUCCAGCCAGUUUCAGGAAGAGCCCCCCAGAAUUGCCAGGAGAAGAGGAGGAGGAAAGUCCCUUAUGCUUGGUCAGAGGCUGAGCUGCAACCUGAGUGGGGCUGCCGCACGAUGGAGGCUCCCCUGUGGCCUGCAUGGGGCACAGGGACUCCCUGGGUAGGAUUUCUGCUGUGAGAGAAGAGAAGAGGACGACGGGGAAAGGCCACCUGGGCUGGAUGGAAGGGGCAGCAAGUCUCUCACCUCCCUCCUCAGCCAUAUUGCUGUGCCUGACCCUGAGGCCACACACCCUCCUCCCCACACACACAGACCCGGUGGGCAGGAGGAACUGCACCAGGUGGAGAUGCUCCAGUGUGAGGGCCCUUUGCCCCCCUGUGCCUCAGACUUGCAUCAACUUCCCCCCUCCAGCCCUGCCGUAUGGUGGUGAAGUCUUACCUGGCACAGGUGCAGAGGCAGCC
rnacentral:lncRNA from 1 species